AUUUAGAGGAUUUUAUGUCCCCUGUAUUUGCUACCCAUUUAUUAAUUCAGAGAAUUUGUGACAUAUUUUCAUGUUUAACUUUUAUGACACACAUUUUCCUCAAGUCACUUUAGAAGAGCUAUACUAAUUCAAACUAGACCUUUCUUGGAAUAAAUUUGUUUGUUUUUCAUAUCUAUAAAGGAAAGUGAAAUAUACAUAUUACAUAGAGAGCCACAUUCC
rnacentral:lncRNA from 1 species